rnacentral:rRNA from 1 species
UCGGGAAUUUUGGGCAAUGGGGGCAACCCUGAUCCAGCCAUGCCGCGUGAGUGAAGAAGGCCUUCGGGUUGUAAAGCUCUUUCGGCGGGGACGAAACGGUCCGUGACAACACCACGGACUAAUGACAGUACUCGCAGAAGAAGCACCGGCUAACUACGUGCCAGCAGCCGCGGUAAUACGAAUUGUGCGAACGUUAUUCGGAAUCACUGGGCUUAAAGGGUGCGUAGGCGGUCAUGUAGGUCUGAUGUGAAGUCCCACGGCUCAACCGUGGAACUGCGUUGGAAACCCCAUGGCUGGAGUAGGACAGAGGUGAGCGGAACAGAUGGUGGAGCGGUGAAAUGCGUUGAUAUCAUCUGGAACACCGGUGGCGAAAGCGGCUCACUGGGUCCUAACUGACGCUGAUGCACGAAAGCCAGGGGAGCAAACGGGAUUAGAUACCCCGGUAGUCCCUGAGCGGGCUGGCAAGGCGCAU